rnacentral:lncRNA from 1 species
GCACCACACUCUGUUUCCUUGCAUCAACUCCAAGCCCUUGUACACAGUGAUGAUAUUGCGGGUAUUUUCACUAUCACAAAGUCCCUCCCGGAGUCACAUAAAGAACCUGACUCCACCCAUUCCUUUCCCAAACACCUCACCUCACCAUUUCGCGACCUUUUACAGAGUUACAAUCACAUCUUCACCACCCCUAUGGGCCUCCCUCCCUGUCGUUCCGUCGAUCACCGCAUUCAUUUGAUUGAAGGAACAAAACCUGUAAAUGUGCGACCAUACCGUUACCCACAAUUUCAGAAAACAGAAAUGGAGAAAUUAAUCCGCGAAAUGCUUGAUCAAGGGAUCAUCAUUCCCAGCCAUAGUCCUUUCUCCUCGCCUGUAUUGUUGGUCCGAAAGAAAGACGGCUCUUGGAGGUUUUGUGUCGAUUAUCGUGCUUUGAAUGCAGCGACGGUUAAGGAUAAAUUUCCUAUCCCCACCAUCGAUGAACUUUUGGACGAGCUUGGUGGGGCAACUGUGUUUAGCAAACUGGACCUUCGCGCAGGGUAUCAUCAGAUUCGAGUGCAUUCUCGCGACACGUACAAAACGGCAUUUCGCACACAUGAGGGCCACUUUGAGUUUUUGGUCAUGCCUUUCGGCCUUACUAACGCGCCUUCAACUUUUCAGGCGACCAUGAAUCAACUGUUUUCUCCGUUCCUCCGGAGGUUUGUGAUUGUUUUUUUUGACGACAUUUUAGUNUUCCGUGGCUUCAAUCAUUGGGAAAGGUCUCCCAUGAUUAUUCUGCUCUCACCAUGGAGUUUUGUUGGAAAGGUACUCCGGUCACCUUGGUGGGAGACUCCUCCUUGGCACCACACUCUGUUUCCUUGCAUCAACUCCAAGCCCUUGUACACAGUGAUGAUAUUGCGGGUAUUUUCACUAUCACAAAGUCCCUCCCGGAGUCACAUAAAGAACCUGACUCCACCCAUUCCUUUCCCAAACACCUCACCUCACCAUUUCGCGACCUUUUACAGAGUUACAAUCACAUCUUCACCACCCCUAUGGGCCUCCCUCCCUGUCGUUCCGUCGAUCACCGCAUUCAUUUGAUUGAAGGAACAAAACCUGUAAAUGUGCGACCAUACCGUUACCCACAAUUUCAGAAAACAGAAAUGGAGAAAUUAAUCCGCGAAAUGCUUGAUCAAGGGAUCAUC